rnacentral:rRNA from 1 species
UGCAAGUCGAGCGGUAACAGGGGGAGCUUGCUCCCCGCUGACGAGCGGCGGACGGGUGAGUAAUGCAUAGGAAACUGCCCAGUAGUGGGGGAUAGCCCGGGGAAACCCGGAUUAAUACCGCAUACGCCCUUUGGGGGAAAGCAGGGGAUCUUCGGACCUUGCGCUAUUGGAUGUGCCUAUGUCGGAUUAGCUAGUUGGUGGGGUAAGAGCCUACCAAGGCGACGAUCCGUAGCUGGUCUGAGAGGAUGAUCAGCCACAUCGGGACUGAGACACGGCCCGAACUCCUACGGGAGGCAGCAGUGGGGAAUAUUGGACAAUGGGGGCAACCCUGAUCCAGCCAUGCCGCGUGUGUGAAGAAGGCUUUCGGGUUGUAAAGCACUUUCAGUGAGGAGGAAAACCUUACGACUAAUACUCGUGAGGCUUGACGUUACUCACAGAAGAAGCACCGGCUAACUCCGUGCCAGCAGCCGCGGUAAUACGGAGGGUGCAAGCGUUAAUCGGAAUUACUGGGCGUAAAGCGCGCGUAGGUGGUUUGAUAAGCGAGAUGUGAAAGCCCCGGGCUCAACCUGGGAACGGCAUUUCGAACUGUCAGGCUAGAGUAUGGUAGAGGAGUGUGGAAUUUCCUGUGUAGCGGUGAAAUGCGUAGAUAUAGGAAGGAACACCAGUGGCGAAGGCGGCACUCUGGACCAAUACUGACACUGAGGUGCGAAAGCGUGNGGAGCAAACAGGAUUAGAUACCCUGGUAGUCCACGCUGUAAACGAUGUCAACUAGCCGUUGGGACUCUUGAAGUCUUAGUGGCGCAGCUAACGCACUAAGUUGACCGCCUGGGGAGUACGGCCGCAAGGUUAAAACUCAAAUGAAUUG